rnacentral:rRNA from 1 species
AUGCCUUUUGGUUUAUGUAAUGCACCUGCUACCUUUCAAAGAUGCAUGAUGGCUAUAUUCUCUGACUUUUGUGAAAAGAUUUGUGAGGUUUUCAUGGACGAUUUCUCCGUUUAUGGAUCCUCUUUUGAUGAUUGCUUGAGCAACCUUGAUCGGGUUUUGCAGAGAUGUGAAGAAACUAAUCUUGUCUUGAAUUCGGAAAAGUGCCACUUUAUGGUUAAUGAAGGCAUUGCCUUGGGGCACAAAGUUUCUGAAAGAGGUAUUGAAGUUGACAAAGCCAAGGUUGAUGCUAUUGAAAAGAUGCCAUGUCCCAAGGACAUCAAAGGUAUAAGAAGUUUCCUGGGUCACGCCGGUUUUUAUCGGAGGUUCAUUAAGGACUUCUAA